rnacentral:lncRNA from 1 species
AUGGUGUGCACCCACAUCCCAGCCUCUCUCAAACAGACCGGAGGAAAAAUCCACAAGGGACAAGGGAUGUGCUGCCCUGAGCCGGCCGGAGGAGCAGCGCUGGCGGCAGCCGCUAGGGAUCAGCCUUGCCCCGCUCUUCAGCGCUGCGCCCGGCGCCGUCGCCGUGCUCGCCUCCCUCGCCGCCCGACCUCCGGCUUUUCACAGCUGGUUUUUCUGUCAAGUUAUUUUUCUUUGGAACGUGCGUGUUCGUUGCAGGGCAUUUUCACAUUCCCCUGCGCUUUCUCUCAUCGUUUUCAACUUCUUUGCCAUUAAUUAGCCGGCAGCGCGGGGGAUACGUUUCCUUGUAGAGAAAUUUGGGGAGUUUUGCUGCUGCAGAAGUGCAAAACUCCUGCCACUUCUGCAGACUAUUUGCUUUGGUUUAGCUAAUUUUUAUACUGUACUCUAUUGGUAAUACUAUAUUAUAAUCUUUUAGACUUCAUUUUUUCCCCCACACUCCUACCCGCUGUCAUAUCACCGCUACGACCUGGAUGUGCCCACUAGCGCUGUGCUCACACCAUGUCCUUAAGUAGCAACUUUUCCUUAGCUAUGUGCAAAUCUGGGAGGGGGGAGAAAAAAACAGACAAAGGGAAAGGAUGUUCACCUUUUCUACAAGCGUAAUCCCAUCCCAAACCCCAGUGUGCUCUCAGAGAUGGGAACACCAGUGCCAAGCCGAGUGCGGUCCCAUACGCUUGGGGUAGGGCUGGUGGGCAUCCAUCCACCAUCCGUGCCCACACCACCACAGUUACUGGUGUGCUAACUGGGGGCACCAGGGGAUGGUGAUGCCGUGCUGCUGCAUUGCCAAAGUGGCACAUGGUGGCCCUUCAAAAGCAGCAGCACAGCAGCUGCUUCCCCUGGAGCAGAGCAGUUUCAGCUCCUGUUUAGUUUCUUGCUGAGGUUUUAAUGCUGCAGUUUAGCUCGUAGUUUCCAUGUUUCAGAUAUUUCAGAACUUCACUAAUCGCCUCUCAUUUUGCACCUCGGAAGUAUAUUGGACAUGAUGAGCUGACAUAACCAGCCAUGACAAAUUAUUGUGGAGAUGUGGGAAGCACACAGAAUACAAAGGGGAACGAUGCACCAGGAACUGAGCUCCAACUUCAUCUGUGUCACAGGACCUCAGAUAUAAAUCUGUCCCAGGCAGAACUGUGUUCACUGCCAGGAUUUGUCCCAGUGCUUUAUUUAUGACUGGGAUUGUCUUCUGAAAUGAAGAGCUCCAGCUUUAAUUUGCAUGCUUUAGUGUCCAUAUAUUUACAUAAGCAAGUGCAUCUGACACGAUAUGCCUAUGUUUUGGAUGCGUGCCUUAAGUGAAACAGUUAAUCUGCAAUAAAUAUUUAUAGUUAACUACCA